CACCGCCCGUCGCUCCUACCGAUUGAAUGGUCCGGUGAAGUGUUCGGAUCGCGGCGACGGGGGCGGUUCGCCGCCCCCGACGUCGCGAGAAGUCCAUUGAACCUUAUCAUUUAGAGGAAGGAGAAGUCGUAACAAGGUUUCCGUAGGUGAACCUACGGAAG
rnacentral:rRNA from 1 species